UACAGAGGUCCCAAGCGUUGUUCGGAUUCAUUGGGCGUAAAGGGUGCGUAGGUGGCGCCGUAAGUCAGGUGUGAAAUUUCGGAGCUUAACUCCGAAACUGCAUUUGAUACUGCGGUGCUUGAGGACUGGAGAGGAGACUGGAACUUACGGUGUAGCAGUGAAAUGCGUAGAGAUCGUAAGGAAGACCAGUGGCGAAGGCGGGUCUCUGGACAGUUCCUGACACUGAGGCACGAAGGCCAGGGGAGCAAACGGG
rnacentral:rRNA from 1 species